CUUUAUUCCAUUGUAUCAGCUGCCAAACCACAGAAACACUUUCUACCAAAGACUCCUAGGGUCUACACUGGGCUGGGACUCAGGUCCUCUGGAUAUAUAUUAUGGUUUCCAGUUUAGUGUAUUUAUGUAAUUCUUCAGUGUGUGAGUAAUGAGAAUGUGAAUAUCAGUGAUGUGUCUCUCUACCAGACACCUUGUCUCCAGCACAUAGAACACUUUGCAGCAUAUGGGGAGAUUUCCAUGACUAUUUCCUGAAUAAAAGUAAAAGGACUGGCGAACAGGAAGAAAUGGAGAGAGGGACAAGCAUGAGCAAUGGGGUGUAAAUACAAACAAAGUAUAAUGAUACAAAUUUAUAUAAAAGGAUCGUAAUGGA